rnacentral:rRNA from 1 species
UACGUAGGAUCCAAGCGUUGUCCGGAUUUACUGGGUGUAAAGGGUGCGCAGGCGGGCUGGUUAGUCUGUGGUGAAAUCUCAUCGCUCAACGGUGAAACUGCCUUAGAUACUGCCAGUCUUGAAUAAGCGAGAGAUCCGUGGAAUUCCGAGUGUAGCAGUGAAAUGUGUAGAUAUUCGGAAGAACACCAGCGGCGAAGGCAGCGGGUUGGCGCUUUAUUGACGCUCAGGCACGAAAGCAUGGGGAUCAAACAGG